GCCAGAUUGGUGUAGUGGUUUGUGUAUUGGACUGUGACUCUGAAGAUCAGAGUUCGAUUCCCUUCUUGGCC